AAAACAUGUAAUGAGUGAAAGUUCUCGACUUUUCAAUAGCUGAGGACUGAGGAGGAGAAGAAGAAUGAGAAACCGUGCGAGAGUAGACGUCAGCGAGAGAGGCUCCCCAGCCACCAUUGAUGAAGCUGUACUGAACGAUUGAAGAACCGAAAAGGACGAUUUGAGGUCUUCCUGGUCCAACCAUGGCUAAGCUUCCCUGGUCUGAUCGAUCUCUCGCGUGGAGAAGGAGAACACUUUGCUUGGUGAAUGUUCAGUGUAAUAAAACCUGAAGUGUGUUAUUGGUUAGAACACCUUCGUUCAUGUAUUAAAAUGGAUUUCCAAAUCCAUAAAAUUAUUAUUUUAAUAAAACAUAAUUAUUUUUUUAUGUUUGGGCAAGGAACAUGCAUUUCUAGAAAACAAAGAAUAUAUUCCUAAUCACAACAAAAAGUUUAAUCAUUUGCUUAGUUAGAUCCUCGCCACAUUGACACUUCCAUAAUAAUUAAUUCCUAAAACCGAAGAAUAUAAAGUAUAUCUAAUCCUAUGUGGUCCCAUUAGUCAACAUAUUUCUGAUUUUUGUAGAAACACUAAAAAUAAGUAAAUUGUACAUUACAAUUCAUGCAUGUUAUCGAAGAUAGUUAUUAUUAAAUUAGAUGAAUUUUUAAUCUAAAACUAAUUGUUGAUAAUCUAUCUUAUAUCAAUAUUAUUAAAACAAGAAUGCUUUUUGACAUCCCUUUGAUUUUGCUAGAUAUUUACUUUUUGUGCCGCUGAGGGUCUAAGAAAAUAUUGUUAGUUAUGCAUAUUUUAUCUAUCUUCAAGAGUCAUAUUAUCCACCACACGAAGUAUGUUUUAUAUAAAACCUCAUCAAUUAUGAAGUUUCCUACAUUUUUCUACUUAGGGUCGGAAUAAUGGAUUGAGCGGUGCGGAACAAGCAGAUUUAGAAGCGUUGUACGAUUUUUGCAGUUUUUAUAAAAAAAACGAAUGCUACGGAACAACUGCGAUUCGUUUAAAAAAACGGUUUAAAAAAAAGGUAUGAAUGGCGACAUAUAAUGAAUAGUGUAAGUGCGGGCUACAUAUAAUAUAUUUAUAUUUUACAAACUAAAAACUUAGUGAUAGUAAUAUAAUUUCUAAAUAUAGAAAUUUUAUUCUAAAAGUUAUUUUAUAUAUCUGAAAUAUAAAAUCUUAAAAUAUAAAUUUUAUUUUAAAAAUUAUUUUAUAUAUCUGACAUAUAAAAUUUAAUAUGAUAUUACCUAGAUUUAUAGUCAAUUAUUUUAUUUUUAAAAUUAUAAUAGCACUAGUUGUCUUUAAACAAAAUUAAAUUAAGAUAACAUUGAUACUUAUUUAGUUUAAACAACUUUUUUAUUUAAUUUAUAAAAAUAUUUUAUAUAUCUGAAAAACUUUGCAAAUAUUAUUCACAUAUUUUCUCAUCUAAAAUAUUGUAUUGUCAAAUUUCAAAACCGUACCUAGACCUAAACACAUUUAUCUUGAACCAAACCGAACCAAAAAAUGAGACUUGAUUUGGGUUUGGAUCCUAUCAAUUAUACUAGUAAAUCCUAUAUUCUUAGAAUCAGAAAAUCCAAAAUCAAACUGGAAAUAAACCAGGACCGAACCGGAACCAAACCGAAAACCUAACGGAAACUGGAAAUGUCGUUUAAACAAAAUUAAACAAAUUAUAAUAUUUAUUAUAAUUCAAAAAUUAAACUUUUAACUUAUUUGAUAAAUCAUAAUAUUUAUUAUAAUUUAAAAAAUUAGCAUCUUACCACAAUAUGAACCAUCUAACACGUUUAGAAAUAUUUAUAAUCCAUCUAUAAAAAAUAACUAAAUCAUAUAGUUAGUAUCUAUUACAAGUAAAAAGAAAACACAUGUGUUAGGCUUUGUAGGUGUCUAUCUAUUACAUAUGGAGACAACAGAAUGAGAGACGUCAUUCACAGCUCACUAAGCCAAUGGAUCAGUUGGCUAGAAUCAUUGAUAAGACUAUUAGGCAAAGAAUCAUAUCUACAAAGUAUUAUGAGAAACCGAAACUCCGGAGAUUAUUGCAAUGUUGGUUUAGUGCCCAUGCGAGACAUAAUUAGUACUCGGUUAUUUAUUUCUUUUUAGAUUUGAUUGUACAUAUAUAAACAUUCACAUUUCAUUAAAAAAAACACCGUACGGACGCACGGAUCAUAAUCUAGUAAUAGGUUUAUAUUUGAAGCCCUUUAAUAUGGAACAAUGUAUAUAUUUGCCUCUUUGCAGAGAAAAUGUCGCCUACCAAAAAUUUAUUAUACCAUUCUGACACUAAACCUUUUAAAACAAGUUGUUGCAUUCAAGUGAAGACUAUUCAUACAUGUUUUUUUUAAGAUCAUUCAUACAUGGGAGAAAUUCAAACACAAAAUUUGGUGAAACACGAGAGAUCAUAUUCGCUAAUGAAAAGGUUUACCAAUAUUCACUUACUGACCAAACUAAGUGAGCUAAUAUUGAUCACAAGUUGUUCUAUUAAAUUUUUUUUGUUUGAUUAAAGAUAUUAUUAGUAAUGGUUUGAUGCAAGGUGUUAAAAUACACGCAACUAGAAAAACAACUUGGUGCUUUGGGGAAGUCCUCUCCACAUCGACCAGACUUCCAUAACAAUUCCUAGAAAACAAAGUACAUUUUGAUUUUUGUUCUCUGUAGAAACACUAAAAAUUAGUAAAUAGAACAUUGAAAAUCACGACGGUUCUCAAGUCUUGCGUGGUUAUUAAGAGUUUGGGGUUCACUAGUUUAGCUGCAACUUGAGGUGUCAAACAGACCCCGUCUGUGGUUGACAAAUUUUUGUAUUGUUCUGCUAAGCUCCAUCGGUAACGAGUUUAUUUUUAAAUAAAAAUUCCACAUUGAAAGCUCUUUGACACACGUAUCAGAAGCUCAAAACUCCACACUGACACCCCUUUGUUUUGAUGCCCAUAUUUGUAUGUGUUGUGAACUUGUGAUAGAUGAAGGUUACCGACAGAUAAAAUUUUAAACGUAACAUUAAAAAAAAUCAAAAAGAGAAUUUUGAGAAUAGUAUACAAAUAAAUAUGAAGAAAUCAAAGGAAACAUCCAUGAUCCAUCCACAAUCUAACAAACCUUCCGCCAGAUGCUUUCUAUCUAGUGAACUGGCUUAAGAUCCCAACCUCAAGAGAAGCAAAGUGGGUAGAGAAGACGGUACAAGGACAUGAGGAAAGGGAGUUACAUGAUACAUGUGUGGAAUAAAGUCACAAGAAAUAUAUGGAUACUUGCUCUCAUUGCAUUAUAUUUUUUAGUAGAUUGAUGAGUAGCGUUUCAUUCUCCUUUUGGGAAAGGCGUUUCACAAAGGUAGAUGCGUAGGAACCGUAGUCUCUAAGAUGGAAGAGCCUCGACACACUUACAGAGGGUACAUUACCAUGUUGACUGUCACCAAACCUUAUUGUGGCCGAUCGCGGCAUAGGUAAACUCUACUGAUUUGCUGAUUUGAAACUGCUCCUGGAAUAAACUAUAGUUGAACUUGUUGGAGACGGAUUUCACCCGCUCUAGACUCCGUUCAAGAACCCAACCCAGAAUCUGUUAAACCGGAAAAUAGACAGCAGGCCCAGUCCCAUCUCGAGCUAGAAAGACGGCCCAUGCCGAGCUCACAUAAUCAAACCUGAGCUGAAAGAGAAUCAAAAGCAACAUCAUUAAUGGCCAUGAUAACAGCCAUAGAUUACGAGGCCAUUAUGAUUCAACCUUGAAGGCCUAUAAAAACAAGACCAAAGACAAGAAGAAGGACUGAAUUCUCAUAGAGUAAUACUAUACUUUCAAUACAUACAUACUUUUUUGUUCUUAGAUAUCUUUUGUAUUCGUACUUGUUUUCUGCUCGUAUCAUCAAUAAAACACUUCUUUAUACAGAAUCAUCGAUACAUAGUCUACAUUCCUUCUUGUACAGGUAACGAAACCCUAAACCUAAUUUCUGAAGUGGAUUUUGAGAUCCAUCAGAACUUCUUGUCAUUCUGAUCGUGUCUUGAUCAACUGCAACGCAUGCCUCUCUUUAGUUUAAAAUCUUGUUUUGCUUACUUGUCAUUGUGCUUUACAGCCACUGAGCUUGUUACAAGAUCAAUCAAAGCGAUGAUGUAAUCAGGCUGUAAAGUGUAAAGGAUGACGUUGCCACUUCUUUUUUCAUACUUCAUCCUAAGGCCAUAUAGGGAAAAUGUUGUAUUACGGAUAAUAAACAUAAAAAGACUUUAACUAUAUUUGGUUUAAAGAAAUAUUAGGGUUUGUACAAUUCUUGUCUCAUGUACAUGGAGUAUUGGCUUGAGUGAAUGAAAAAGAACACGAAUGUCCAAAAAAAUUUGUUAAAGAAAGUUUUGUUACAAAACCUAUCAGCUACCAUGUUAAGCUAUGCUUGCUUAAGUUUUUUUUUUUUGAAAAAAAAUGCUUGCUUAACUUUGGACUUUGGACAUAAAACAUAAACAAUGUUUUUUGAAUAAUUAUAUAUGUUUAAAGUUUUUUGAGAAAUUUAUGAGAGUUGAACAAUAGCAACUAGUUUUUUUUUUCUUUUUGCUGACAAAAAAAAAAGCAGCUAGUUUUUUCAUUUCUUUUGCACAAUCACCUUUUUAAAAGACAAUAACUGCAAUCCAUCUAUGUUAGCAAGAUUUUGUUUAUCCAUAAUAAUCCAUCUUCCAGUUCCAACGAUAAAAGGUGUGAUAAAAGAUGAAAAAAUAUCUGUCUCAAAACUCACAUGGCCAAAAACAGAACAUAUUGAAGACUGUUCACCUCUCGCCACAUAGUUAUGACUAUCUUAGCCCACAUCGCAAAAGCAGAUCACUGACAUUCACACUGUGUGCUUCGUUCAUAACUUUUUCAUUCUCAAAAAGAAUUCUUUGCUAUUAAAAGAAACAUUUCUAGAAAAAAACAUUUUCAUUAUCAUUUUACAUUUUUUUAAUACAAUAACAACAAAAAGUCAGAUUGAAAGCACAUGAAUAGUCACUGAAUUCAAACGAGAAUAUUAGUAAAUAUACAUAUAGUGGAUGUCCAAAGUACAUGUGAAACGAGAGCCUAUGAUAAGGGAGGGUAACGAUUGAGUAGUGUCAUGAACACAUGCCAUAUUUAAUAAGAGAGACGAGAACGGUCCUCUUUUUUUUUUUUUGUCAACUGACGAAAACGGUCCUCUGAUCCUUUCUUUCAAGUGUCUGUUCAGAGAGAAAGAGUGAGAAGUAAAUAAUGGCACGUGACUCAGACGAAGAAGCCACGUGCGAUCUCUCCCCACACCCAUGUGCCCCAUAUAGAAUGACCGGCUCCGUAGGUCCAACUUGUCCAUGUUCCCAACUUAUUUCCCACCUAAGGCUCCGAAUGGUGACUGCGAUUAGAGCGGUGCAGAACAAGCGGUUCAAUUGCGGUGCAGUUUUAACAGUUAUAAAAAUGUAUAGAUAUAUAGUAUAUGUAGAGAUUUUUGUUACUGUUAACUGCGGGGCCGGGCGGGACGAUGAUCAUCAUUCGAAACCUAAGUAAAACUUUCGAAAUUAAUAGUAUACGUUAAAAAAAAACAAAUAUUUCAUAUUGCAGUUUGAAUGAGUUUUGAUAAAAGAAAAGUCAACGUCGAAGUCAAUUUCAAUGGUUUAUUGGUUAUUUCGCUUAGAAAAUGUUAGAGAAAUCUAUUUUUACUGAAAAAUAGAUAUUGUCUAAACAAAUCUAUUAACUAAUUCAUUUUUUUCUGAAACAGAUAUUAUGUAAAUAAAUCUAUUAAUUUAAAAAGUCUAUUAAUUAAUUCAAUAUCUACUAAUUAAUUAAAUAAGUUUAAGCAAGUGGUCUCGGCUUACUGGUAAAAGAGUUAUAGCUGGAAAAUCCGGAUUUUUAUAGGCCUUAUGGACCUCUUAAUCAGUAGUUAUUGGGUCUAAAAAGUUUUUAGGAUCACACCAAAAUUAAAAAUAUAUAUAUUUAGGAAUAUCUAUUGUAAGCGGCUCUAUUAAUUAGUUCAAUAUAGAACUAGACGAAUAAUUAUUUUGUAACGCUCCGACCAUCUACGAGUAACAUGCUUUUUACGUUCAUUUACUCAGCUGGUAGACCUAUCUAUUCUUUCUAACACUCCUCAAUCAGGUUCAUAACUAUUGUUGCUUGUGCACAAGAAAAUGUAGUGUGGACAGUGCGUUAAUAAUUUAAAAUGCUUGUUUGGUAAUUUUACAAUUCACUUAUAUUACCACUACUUCGUUCAAACACGCUUAGCUAUAAAUUUUUAUAGAUAUGUAAAAAUGCACUUUAAUAAUAUAAAUAACGAAAUCAAUUCUUUUAAAUCAUUAUAUAUACACUACAAUUACAAUAUAUCAUAAACGGGUUUAGCAUUUGUUAACAACAAAACGCAUGCUCAUAAGGAUUAUGUUACUACAAGCCAGGUAAAAGAAGAGAACACAUAUACAUUUAGUUAACCUAUUGUUUUAAUAAUACCAAUCACACGCUACGAUAUUAUCGACCUAAGGAGUGAACAAAAAAUUACAAACCCCCCCCCCCAAAAAAAACAUUAAGAGCUUAACACGCAUUCAAAGGGGAUC